CCUACGGGUGGCAGCAGUGAGGAAUAUUGGUCAAUGGGCGGGAGCCUGAACCAGCCAAGCCGCGUGAAGGAAGAAGGCGCCAGGCGUCGUAAACUUCUUUUGUCGGGGAACAAAGGGCGCCACGCGUGGCGUUGUGAGUGUACCCGAAGAAAACGCAUCGGCUAACUAGGUGCCAGCAGCCGCGGUAAUCCGGAGGAUGCGAGCGUAAUCCGGUUUUAUUGGGUUAAAGGGGUGCGUAGGAGGUCCGGAAAGUCAGCGGGAAAAGCCCGGGGCCAAACCCCGGCGCGCCGUUGAAACUGUGGGACUAGAGACGGCGAGAGGCACGCGGAAUGCGCGGUGUAGCGGUGAAAUGCAUAGAUAUCGCGCAGAACACCGGUUGCGAAGGCAGCGUACCGGCGCCGGACUGACGCUGAGGCACGAAAGCGUGGGUAGCGAACAGGAUUAGAUACCCGAGUAGUC
rnacentral:rRNA from 1 species